rnacentral:misc_RNA from 1 species
CAACCACUAUCUGGGUUGCCACUUCCACAUUCCAUGCAGCAGCCUUUGCAAUAUGCUGGACUAAAUGCGUCAGCAUCAACUGGAUCUUCUAAUAUACCAGAUUUUUCUUAUCCUUUCCUGCCACCUGCAAGUAACACUCAGAAUUUAACCUCUAGUUCACUGCAAUCUACCUUGGCUCCUAAUCAAGCUACUGUAUUAGCUUCCGAGACAUCAAAGUACCUGACUCCCAG